CCAAUAGCGUAUAUUAAAGUUGUUGCAGUUAAAAAGCUCGUAGUUGAAUUUCGGGAUUGGCGCAUCGGUCGUGCCUCACGGGGUAUGAACUGGUGCAGUCAAUUUCUCACCUUCUGGAGAACCGCGAUGUCCUUAAUUGGAUGCCGCGGGGAACCAGGACCUUUACUUUGAAAAAAUUAGAGUGUUUAAAGCAGGCAUUUUUGCUUGAAUACAUUAGCAUGGAAUAAUAAAAUAGGACGGCAUGGUUCUAUUUUGUUGGUUUCUAGGACCACCGUAAUGAUUAAUAGGGAUAGUUGGGGGCAUUAGUAUGCAAUUGUCAGAGGUGAAAUUCUUGGAUUUAUUGAAGACUAACUACUGCGAAAGCAUUUGCCAAGGAUGUUUUCAUUAAUCAAGAACGAAAGUUAGGGGAUCGAAGACGAUCAGAUACCGUCGUAGUCUUAACCAUAAACUAUGCCGACUAGGAAUCAGACGAUGUUAAUUUUUUAAUGACUCGUUUGGCACCUUACG
rnacentral:misc_RNA from 1 species